ensembl:lncRNA
CCACAUCCAGUAACCGAUAGACCACCAGGGCCAACACCACAUCCAACACCACUCCAACUCCCAUACAUCACCACAUAGAACACCAGGUCCAACACCACAUGCACCAGCACAUCCAACACCACAUACACCAUCACAUCCAACACCACAUAGACACCACAUCCAACCCCAGGUCCAACAGCACAUACUCCACCAGGUCCAACACCAUCCAACUCCCCAUACAUCACCACAUAGAACACCAGGUCCCAAACACCACAUACAACAUCACCUCCCACACCACAUACACCACCACAUCCAACACGACAUACACCACCAGGUCAAACACCACAUCCAACCCCAGGUCAACAGCACAUACACUACCACAUUCAACACUAAAUACCCCACCAGGUCCAACACCACAUCCAUCACCUCAUACAACACCAGGUCCAACACCACAUCCAACACCACGCCCACCACCAUAUUCAACACCACAUCACACACCAGGUCCACCACCACAUCCAGCACCUUGUCCACCACCAUGUCCAAAACCACAUCCACCACCAGGUCCAACGCCACAUACACCACCAGGUCCAACAUGACAUAUACUACCGCGUCCAACACCACAUACACCACCAGGUCCAACACCUCAUUCACCACCACAUCCAACAGCACAUACACCAGCAUUUACAACACCAUGCCCACCACCAAGUUCACCACCACAUCCAACACCAGUUCCACCACCACAUCCACCACCAC